UUUAAAUUUAUUUUUCAACAGAGUCCUGGGUGCUUUUGUUUGCCGAAUAUAACUGAGCCCUAAUUGAGUUUCUUUAUGGAUUUUAAAGCUCCAGCACCUUAAUUUGGGACUAAAGCCACCUGAUUUGCUUGUUUUUAUUUUUAUCUUCCCUCCGAGUUCUGAUUUCUUUAUUCCCUAUCUUUCGUGGCGCUUUUGAGCUCUUUCUCCUUGCGCUCUAACGUCGGAAUUCUUCCCUGGCCAUCUCCUGACCAAAGGUGGACCUUAUUAUUUUUAAUUCUGAGGCACUCUAACGACGAAAUUCUUCCCUGACCAUCUUCUGACUAAAUGUGGACUUUAUUAUUUGUUUAUUUUACUCAAAACUGCG
rnacentral:sRNA from 1 species